ACGAGACCGCACGGGAGUCCCGCAGGGGGCUGAGAGUGGGCCGUCCGCCCCGGGGCGGAAGCGCCCAGACCGUAAUCACCUGACCCGGAUCAUGCCGGCGCAGGGAGGGGAUGGCACCAGUGA
rnacentral:ncRNA from 1 species